AACUCCUUGGGCCUCGCCGGUUAUGACACUUAAGCUAAUCUGAACCAAUUUAGAACUAUAGGAUUCAGUUUAGAUAAGUGGAAUAGUCGGCGAGAGUCCGGAGACGUU
rnacentral:pre_miRNA from 13 species